AUAUGAUCAAAAUAAAAAAUAAAAGAAAAGCUACAAAUCAUAUCAGUUACCCAUCAGCUAGCUUUAUUUUUUAAAAAUUUACCAAACACUCUAAUUCAUCUAUUUUAGUAUUUAUCAGCUAUUUUUUAAGGGGGUGCUUGGUUCACCGCUUGAGUGCAACUGAUAGCUGACAAACACCCAAAUAGAUAAACUAGUGUUUGGUAAAUUUUAAAAAAAUAAAGCCGAUAGUUUAUGGGUAACUGAUAUGAUACCCAUCAACUGUAGUUUGUAUCAACUCUGUUUUUAGAGUUAUUUCUUAUGAGUUGAUAGCUGAUUCGAUUUUAUUUUUUAUUUAAACCAUAUUAUCUUUUUUUAUGUAACUCAAAAAUAAUAUUAUUAGUGCAUUUAUUUUUUUAUUUAUAAUUUUAACAUUUUAAUUAACAUAUUUCAAUUUUGUUAGAAUAUUUUUUUAUUAAUAACAUAAAAUAU
rnacentral:misc_RNA from 1 species